GGAAAGCUUUUGCUAAAUUCAAAAAGUUUGGCGAAUAAGGACUGGGUAAGACAGGUGCCAGCCGCCGCGGUAAUACCUGCGGUCCAAGUCGCAGCCACAUUUAUUGGGUCUAAAACAUCCGUAGCUUGCUUAAUAAGUUCCUUGUGAAAUCCUAUGUCUUAAACAUGGGGCGCGCAGGGAGUACUGUUGAGCUAGAGACUGGAAGGCGUAGGAAGUACGCCCAAAGUAGUGGUAAAAUACGUUAAUCUUGGGCGGACUCACAAUAGCGAAGGCAUCCUACGAGGACAGAUCUGACAGUGAGGGAUGAAAGCUAGGGUCGCGAAACGGAUUAGAUACCCGUGUAGUCCUAGCAGUAAACACUGCACACUAAACAUUAGUACCUCCUCGAGAGGUAUUGGUGCUGAAGGGAAGCCGAAGAGUGUGCUACCUGGGAAGUAUAGUCGCAAGGCCGAAACUUAAAGGAAUUGGCGGGGGAGCAC
rnacentral:rRNA from 1 species